rnacentral:rRNA from 1 species
UACGUAGGAUGCAAGCGUUAUCCGGAAUGAUUGGGCGUAAAGCGUCCGCAGGUGGCUGUGUAAGUCUGCUGUUAAAGAGUGAGGCUCAACCUCAUAAAAGCAGUGGAAACUACACGGCUAGAGUGCGUUCGGGGCAGAGGGAAUUCCUGGUGUAGCGGUGAAAUGCGUAGAUAUCAGGAAGAACACCGGUGGCGAAAGCGCUCUGCUAGGCCGCAACUGACACUGAGGGACGAAAGCUAGGGGAGCGAAUGGG